CAGCUGUGGUACAGGACCCAGGGAUUUUCAGCUGAAGUCUAAAUGCAGUUGACAACUGUAUGAAUCUCAGAGCCAGGAUGCUUCAAGCACCAUAGAUCUAAAAAAGACAUUGAUUUGCUCUCCUCCAGCCUCUCUUAUCUCCUACUUAUGAAAAUAUCUGGUGAAUAGUACAUCAUCUGCUUGCUCCACAGCCUAAGUGCCUCAGAGCAGCCACUCAGGUUCAGCUAUGACAAAUACGUCGGGCGACUCCGAGGGAUAGUAACACGCAGGCGCCUUUAAGCAAAGUUCAAGCAGCUCCUAAAUUAACCGGAGCGAAUCCCCGAAGAUGCAGUAUUUAUGCACUGAAGCAGGAAGGGAGGGCUCUCAUCUCACCACUCUCAUCAGCCAUCACAGCCCAGGAAGCAAGAGAGAGAAAAUAAGAGUUAUUUACCUUUUGCUAAUUGGGAGCUGGGCAGCUCAGUGUGCUCCCUAAAAGGGAGAGCCCAUCCUGCCACAGCCAUUCCCACUGCUGGGAGACACGGAUCCACUGCCAGGAACUGACUUAAAGUGCAGGGCUGCAAACUGGUAAAUGUAUUAACUUCGGGUGCCUCUCUGACAUUUUUUUAAAAAAAUUAAAUUUUCAGCUGUGUUGUAGGUACAAAGGGAGGCACAGAGAAGAGCUGCACGUGUCAGGGGGUGAGCACAUCAAGGCAGACAAUGGUGACACCUGUCUGGUUGAGUUUAGGCUGACAAAAUUCAGCAGAGAGACCUCCGUGGAGGGAAGAGGAUGCUCGGGAGAAGCAGUGCUGCGGGGCCCUCCUCAGAAGCAGACCUCAUUUUUUUUAAUUAGGUUAUAACUUAAUUAUGGAUGCAGGGCUCUUCAUUCCUGACAAGUUUUCCAUAAUCUUAACUUGAUCUCAUGUCAGAAGGGUCCCAUACUCUGAUAACCAAACCCAGCUAAGAGUUUAACUAGAAUAAUAGCUGAUUAAAAGGGGUUAAUAGAUACACCUCAAACAGAAGUAAAUUAACGGGAGACGCUGUCUCUUGGCUAAUGGGAUCAGAACAGUAUUUGUUUAGUUUAUGAAUGAUUAAUCUCCCUCUCUCGGCAUUCCUGGGAUGCUAAUUGCACUUAGGGAGCCCGUGUUUGUUUUUACAAGAGUUGGAGGUGGCAGAAGGAAGGCGAUGGUUGGCCCAAAGGGGAGUUCAUUCACCCGGGUAAUGGGCUCUUGGCACAGCUGCGGGGAAUACGGGAAAGCCACGCUCUGGGAUUGGAGAUAUUGUUAAAGUCGAAUUAAAGGUGGUAUUGAAGUCACUUUGGUGUGUUUUAUGAGAAAACCUGUGAAGUUCACAAAGGCACCGAGUGCCGAGGCUCGUCUCCCCCUCCCGCCCGGGGAAUUUCCACCACAAAAAUGCUCGGAUUUUUCCCUGUGGAAAUUCUCCAAACGGAUCACAGCAAAGCUAAAAGAAAAGGCCAAAGGAGGGAAACCACUUCUCGUGGCAACUUUUGCAUUUGACAGUUCAAAGCAGGAGAGCAGCAGCAUUUGUCAGGAGCGCUGGGAGGGAAGCAGUAAUUGCCUGGAAGCAGCCACAGAUGCAGGGCUCACUCCAGCUGCUGCUGCAUCGCUAAGAGUCUCUGCCAAGGGAUGGAUGUUUGAAAGAUGUGAGGAACAUUGGGAAGACCAAGAGAACACUUCUGCACUAAACCUGUUUUUGAGUCUGGGAUCAAAUGAAAUUAGGUAUUUCAUUCAUCACUGGAUUGUGCAGAAAACCUGAGUUGAAUAAAACCUUCUGAAAGAAGGUGAGGAGACACACUCUGCCUUGUAGAUUAUUUUACAGCUGCUGAAGCCAUUCGUUUCCUCUGUCUGUUUUCCACAAACUUGGAAAAUUAACCAUGUACCAGGAGGUGUGGCUUCUACUUUUUGCC